rnacentral:ncRNA from 17 species
GCGGUAUAGCUUAGAGGUAGAGCGUUGCACUAGUAAUGCAAAGGUCAUGAGUUCGAUUCUCAUUAUCGC